rnacentral:rRNA from 1 species
CACGUAUGCAACCUACCCUUUACAGCGGGAUAACCGGGAGAAAUUUCGCCUAAUACCGCAUAUACUCCUUGGGAGGCAUCUUCCGAGGGGGAAAGAAUUUCGGUGAAGGAUGGGCAUGCGUCGCAUUAGUUAGUUGGCGGUGUAACGGACCACCAAGACGACGAUGCGUAGGGGUUCUGAGAGGAAGGUCCCCCACACUGGUACUGAGACACGGACCAGACUCCUACGGGAGGCAGCAGUGAGGAAUAUUGGUCAAUGGCCGAGAGGCUGAACCAGCCAAGUCGCGUGAGGGAAGAAUGUCCUAUGGAUUGUAAACCUCUUUUGUCAGGGAGCAAAGUCACCCACGUGUGGGUGUUGGAGAGUACCUGAAGAAAAAGCAUCGGCUAACUCCGUGCCAGCAGCCGCGGUAAUACGGAGGAUGCGAGCGUUAUCCGGAUUUAUUGGGUUUAAAGGGUGCGUAGGCGGGUUAUCAAGUCAGCGGUAAAAUCGUGGAGCUCAACUCCAUCCAGCCGUUGAAACUGAUGAUCUUGAGUGGGCGAGAAGUAUGCGGAAUGCGUGGUGUAGCGGUGAAAUGCAUAGAUAUCACGCAGAACUCCGAUUGCGAAGGCAGCAUACCGGCGCCCGACUGACGCUGAAGCACGAAAGCGUGGGUAUCGAACAGGAUUAGAUACCCUGGUAGUCCACGCAGUAAACGAUGAAUACUAAUUGUGUGCUCCGAAUGAGGAGUGCGUGAUACAGCGAAAGCGUUAAGUAUUCCACCUGGGGAGUACGCCGGCAACGGUGAAACUCAAAGGAAUUGACGGGGGCCCGCACAAGCGGAGGAACAUGUGGUUUAAUUCGAUGAUACGCGAGGAACCUUACCCGGGCUCAAACGCAGGAGGGAUGUUUUUGAAAGGAGGCAGCUCUACGGAGUCUCCUGCGAGGUGCUGCAUGGUUGUCGUCAGCUCGUGCCGUGAGGUGUCGGCUUAAGUGCCAUAACGAGCGCAACCCCUACCGCCAGUUGCCAACGGGUAAAGCCGGGAACUCUGGCGGGACUGCCGGCGCAAGCUGUGAGGAAGGCGGGGAUGACGUCAAAUCAGCACGGCCCUUACGUCCGGGGCGACACACGUGUUACAAUGGCAGGUACAGCGGGAAGCCACUUGGCGACAAGGCGCGGAACCCGAAAACCUGUCUCAGUUCGGAUUGGAGUCUGCAACCCGACUCCAUGAAGCUGGAUUCGCUAGUAAUCGCGCAUCAGCCACGGCGCGGUGAAUACGUUCCCGGG